rnacentral:rRNA from 1 species
CCUACGGGUGGCAGCAGUAGGGAAUAUUGCACAAUGGGCGAAAGCCUGAUGCAGCAACGCCGCGUGCGCGAUGAAGGCCUUCGGGUCGUAAAGCGCUUUUCGGGGAGAUGAGGAAGGACAGUAUCCCCGGAAUAAGGAUCGGCUAACUACGUGCCAGCAGCCGCGGUAAAACGUAGGAUCCGAGCGUUAUCCGAAUUUACUGGGCGUAAAGCGCGUGCAGGCGGUUCGGUAAGUUGGGUGUGAAAUCUCCCGGCUCAACUGGGAGAGGUCGCUCAAUACUGUCGGACUAGAGGAUGGUAGAGGGAGGUGGAAUUCCCGGUGUAGGGGUGAAAGGCGUAGAUAUCGGGAGGAACACCAGUGGCGAAGGCGGCCUCCGGGACCA